GACGAACGCUGGCGGCGUGCUUAACACAUGCCAGUCGAACGGAAAGGCCCUGCUUUUGUGGGGUGCUCGAUUGGCGAACGGGUGAGUAACACGUGAGUAACCUGCCCUUGACUUUGGGAUAACUUCAGGAAACUGGGGCUAAUACCGGAUAGGAGCUCCUGCUGCAUGGUGGGGGUUGGAAAGUUUCGGCGGUUGGGGAUGGACUCGCGGCUUAUCAGCUUGUUGGUGGGGUAGUGGCUUACCAAGGCUUUGACGGGUAGCCGGCCUGAGAGGGUGACCGGCCACCUGGCGACUGAGAUACGGCGCAGACUCCUACGGGAGGCAGCAGUGGGGAAUAUGGCACAGUAGGCGGAAGCCUGAGGCAGCAACGCCGCGUGCGGGAUGACGGCCUUCGGGUUGUAAACCGCUUUCGCCUGUGACGAAGCGUGAGUGACGGUAAUGGGUAAAGAAGCACCGGCUAACUACGUG
rnacentral:rRNA from 1 species